UCUCUCUCUCUGCCUGUCGUUCCUGAGCAGCCGAGUUUCAAUGGCCGAACUGUUUCUCGGGCGAUACAUCCACGUUUGGGGACUGAGGGUUGAAGGAAAGACCGCUCUCACCCCGCCUCGAGGAAACGGCUUGGCUAGACCAUGAAUUCAGACUCUGGGGGACAAGAAGGCAAGUUGUGCCAGCUGCUUUUCCCUCACAGCUGGAGCAUGGGGAGCAGGCAGAAAAGCAAAUCACACCCAGUAUGAACAAGCCAGGAGCAGGACCGCCCCACGCUUCCCAGAGUGCAGUCGGUUCCUCGUACCCGCUCUCCUUGCCCAGGGAUUAUGGCCAAGCCACAGCGCCGCGCUCCAGAUUGGUGUCAGCAGCCUUGUAAGGUCCGUUGAUAAAGCAUCUGAAAAUCAAAUUGGACUCCUAAGUAUUGAAAGGAGCAGGCCUAAAACAAACCUGACCUUUGAGGUGAACUUUUGAUGUGCACUGGGAUGCAACAUGGCACAGCAGUGAGGCAAAUCCAAGAUCAGCCUAGCUGCCAUUGCUAAUGGCCUAAUCCGGGGCCCAGAUAAGAAAACUGGAAGACUUUCCCUGGCCUCCCUGAUUCCGUAUCAAACUGUUAGAAGAAGAACAGAAUCUGAACAUUUAGUGACAUCCAGAAGACCAUAUUAAUGGGGAAAACCAGAGAUAAUCCUGAGGAUGCCAAGCUAUGUGUAGUAAGUCACUGGGUGGUGCCGUCUUCCUGGAGAACAUGUGCAAGUGGAGGAGAAGUAGCCUAGCUUGAAAGGUGGAUGCUGUGCAAAGCCUGCAGGCAGGAGGGGAUCCAACUUCUGCCUGGCCUGUUACCUGAUGGCCGGAGGGUGAAUAUCCGCAGUCAGUCCUGGAGCUGAUGUUUCCCAUGGCUGCCUGCACAGGAUGGAGUUAGCCUGAACCAGAAAGAGCAGCUACUAGUCAUUUUUGGAGAUGUCCAGAGGACCCAAAAUCCUGGCUUUUUCCAGAAGAACAGAUGAAACUUGGAGGACAUAGAGUCUGACUUCUGAA